rnacentral:rRNA from 1 species
UACGUAGGGACCAAGCGUUGUCCGGAUUUAUUGGGCGUAAAGAGCUUGUAGGCGGCCCUCCACGUCGGAUGUGAAAGCUCAGGGCUCAACCCUGGGAUGCCAUUCGAUACGGGAAGGCUAGAGGUAGGUAGGGGAAAGUGGAAUUCCUGGUGUAGCGGUGAAAUGCGCAGAUAUCAGGAGGAACACCGGUGGCGAAGGCGGCUUUCUGGGCCUUACCUGACGCUGAGGAGCGAAAGCUGGGGGAGCGAACAGG